rnacentral:tRNA from 1 species
UAGCUUAGUGGAUAGAGCGUUUGUUUCCUAAGUAGAAAAUUGUAGGUUUGACCCCUAC